AUGUUCCUGUCUCAGGGAAAGAGGGGUUUGCAAAAACAACCGUUCCAGCUUCCUGACUUCAUUGCUGCAACUGGAAUUGAAAAAAUAAGACAGGCAUACUUUCAGAAGGAGAACAAAAAGACAUUCAAACAGAAGCAGCACAACCGUAUGCAGCCCAAGAGGGGGAAUAUGGAUAUGGAUUAUGAGGUUUUGCAUGAUGCAUUCUUCAAAUAUCAAACAAAACCCACAUUGACUGGUUAUGGUGAUCUGUAUUAUGAAGGGAAAGAGUAUGAGCCGAAGCUUAAGGUAAUGAAACCAGGUAUGCUGUCCCAGGAGCUUAAAAAAGCUCUUGGUAUGCCUGAUGGUGCCCCGCCCCCAUGGGUUACCAGGAUGCAGUUCUUUGGUCCUCCACCCUCUUAUCCUCAUCUGAAGAUCCCAGGUUUUAAUGCCUCAAUCUCUCCUGGAGACAGUUUGGGUGAUGGACCUGAUGAGGAAGAACCUCUCGAUCGCAGCAAACACUGGGGAGAUUUGGACGAAGACGAGGAUGAAGAGGAAGAAAAAGAGGAGGAACUAAUUAUUCAUGAGGAAAUAGAAGAAGGUAUUCGGUCUAUUGACACCAUCUCAAGUACUCCGGCUGGUGUGGAAGCACCUGAUGUUAUUGACAUUCAGAAGUUGAGGAAGGAGUCAGAUAACCAGGCAGAAAGGCCAUUAUACCAGGUUCUUGAACAGAAAGAAGUAAGGAUCACCCAUAGGGCGGUGUUCGCAUCGAGCCACGCAUAUGUUUCCCUGGCCAAACCUACCGAGUACGUGCUGGUUGGAGCACAAGGUACACCGUCAUCACCAGGCAGCAAUUUUGGUGAUGGACCUGGGGAGUUAGGAAAGCCUCCAACUGACGAGGGAGGACCUAUUGGUCGCAGCAAAAACUGGGGAGAACUGGACGAAGAAGAAGAGGAAGAGGAGGAAUUGGAAGAUGGGAAAAUAGAGAAGGGCAUUCUAGAAGAGGAAGAGGAGGAAUUGGAAGAUGGGAAAAUAGAAAAAGGCAUUCUAGAAGAGGAAGAAGAGGAUGAGGUACUGGAAGAUGGGGGAAUAGAAAAAAGCAUUCUAGAAGAGGAGGAGGAGGAGGAACUGGAAGAGGGGGGAAUAGAAGAAGGCACUCUGGAAGGGCUGGAGGAGGAGGAACUGGAAGAUGGUGAAAUAGAAGAAGCUACUCGGAAAGCAGAAGAGGCGGAGCUGGAAGAUGGGGAAAUAGUACAAGGCAUUCGGCAAGAGGAAGAAGAGGAGGAGGAACUGGAAGAUGGGGAAAUUGUAGAAGUCAUUCGGCAGGAGGAAGAGGAGGAGGAGGAACUGGAGGAGGGGGAAAUAGUAGAAGGCAUCCGGCAAGCGGGAGAGGAGGAGGCGGAGGCACUGGAAGAGGGGGAAAUAGUAGAAGGCUUUUGGUCUGGUUACACCAUCUCAAGCAGACACUUGGGAUUCACUUGGCCUUUUGGUUGUGGCAGCAGUACUCCAGCUGGUGUGGAAACACCAGAUGUUAUCGACCUCCGGAAGCCAUGGAGGAAGGAGCCUGAGAAGCAGGCAGAAAUGCCAUUAUACCAGGUUCUUGAACAGAAGGAAGAAAGAGUUGCCUUUGCCAGUGCGAUGUACUUGUCGAGCCACAGGUACGUGCUGGUGGGAGCGCAAGAUAAACCGUCGACAUCAACAUCAUCAUCAUCAGGCCUAAAAAGUAAAAGGGUGAGCCCAUUAGCAGUGGAGUUCCCUCCCUCAUCGCCUGUUAUCGAACCCCAUUGCUUGCCUGACAGUCAGUAUGUACUUGCUAGUUGA
rnacentral:rRNA from 1 species